rnacentral:rRNA from 1 species
GACUACUGGUGGCUGCAGUGGGGAAUAUUGGACAAUGGGCGAAAGCCUGAUCCAGCCAUGCCGCGUGUGUGAAGAAGGCCUUCGGGUUGUAAAGCACUUUCAGUGGGGAAGAAAGCCUUGGGGCUAAUACCCUCGAGGAAGGACAUCACCCACAGAAGAAGCACCGGCUAACUCCGUGCCAGCAGCCGCGGUAAUACGGAGGGUGCGAGCGUUAAUCGGAAUUACUGGGCGUAAAGCGCGCGUAGGCGGUCUGAUAAGCCGGUUGUGAAAGCCCCGGGCUCAACCUGGGAACGGCAUCCGGAACUGUCAGGCUAGAGUGCAGGAGAGGAAGGUAGAAUUCCCGGUGUAGCGGUGAAAUGCGUAGAGAUCGGGAGGAAUACCAGUGGCGAAGGCGGCCUUCUGGACUGACACUGACGCUGAGGUGCGAAAGCGUGGGUAGCAAACAGGAUUAGAUACCCCGGUAGUC